rnacentral:lncRNA from 1 species
UUUUUUUUUAAUUUUUUUUUUUUUUUUGUCUUUUUUUGUUGUUGUUGCUAUUUCUUGGGCCGCUCCCACGGCAUAUGGAGGUUCCCAGGCUAGGGGUUGAAUCGGUGCUGUAGCCACCGGCCUACGCCAGAGCCACAGCAACGCGGGAUCCGAGCCACGUCUGCAACCUACACCACAGCUCACGGCAACGCCGGAUCGUUAACCCACUGAGCAAGAGCAGGGACCAAACCCGCAACCUCAUGGUUCCUAGUCGGAUUCGUUAACCACUGCGCCACGACGGGAACUCCAAAUAUACAUUUUGAACAGAACUUAGAAGACAAUUUUUAGUAAUAUUUCUAAAUAUUCUCUUAUAAGGGAAGGGGAAAUAUCAAAACGUGAAUUAACUUCCUGAAAUCCUAUGUCUCAAAAAGGAUUUAACUGUAACUUUAAAGGUAGGAAAGACCUUACAAAAUAUCCAGUCUAUUCAUUGAAUAACUCAGGAAACAGAAGCUCAAAUUAAGUAACUUGACACAAAUGCAGAUUAGGAUCUUGACCCUAUGUCUUCCGACUUUAUACAAUCAUGUUCGGGAUUUUUUUCUUGUUUUUUUAAAAUGUUAUUUUUAAAUCCUUAGCCACAGAAUUUUGUUUGAAAAUAAAGUCAAAAAUAUGAAGGCCUUGUUUGCUUUUUUUAUAUCUAAUAUUCAACUUUAAGACAAAAAAUUAUUGUGGUAGUUGUUAAUUUUAUAGAUGAAAACAGUAAAAAAUGUUUAGGUUAAUUCAAGUUGGAAGGAAAAUGUUUUCUUUACCUUCUAUUCCUUAUUUGCUGGUGUUUUUUUUUAAGUCAUAAGACUAGAAAUUGGAGUUCCCUGGUGGCCUAGCAGUUCAGGAUUCUGCAUUGUCACUACUGUGGCUUGGGUUGAUUCCUGACCUGGGAACUUCUGCAUGCCACCCACUGCCAAAGAUAAAGAAAAACUUUAUGGGGAGUUGUCUGGUGGAUAAGAUUUGGCACUUUGACCACUGCAUCCCAGGUUCGAUCCCUGGUCUGGGAACUGAGAUCCCACAUCAAGCUACUGCAACCUGUGGCAAAAAAAAUAAUAAUAAUUAAAAAAAAAAUAAAACAAAAAAUUGACAUUCAGGAUAAGAAGAAUGUGUUUGUAUAGUAUAUCAUACUCCUGGUCUUAUUUCUUGCAAGGAGUAUCUCACCCCUUUCACUUGUCACCAAGCUAGGGGUCUAAUCGGAGCUGUAGCCACUGGCCUAUGCCAGAGCCACAGCAGCAAGGGAUCCGAGCCGUGUCUGCAACCUACACCACAGCUCACAGCAACGCUGAUCCUUGACCCACUGAGCAAGGCCAGGGAUCAAACCUGCAACCUCAUGGUUCCUAGUCGGAUUUGUUAACCACUGAGCCAUGACGGGAACUCCAAAUCUUUUUUCCAGCAAAUUUUUUUUUCCCAAAAUAACAAAGUAACAUACCAUAUUGGCUAGAAUUAAAUGGCAGCUUUUACAUGGAAAUAAUAUUGCCUUGGUGCUUUUUCAUCAACCUUUUAACCUGUUUUUUAUUUCAUCUCAACUAUUUCAUGAAAGACUGUAACAAAUAUAUGAUAAUAUUUGGUUCCACCAAAAAUAUUUCAGGAAGUAAUACAUGGAUACUUAGAAGUAUUAAGUAAAUAAAUGAAUUAAAAAGUUAGUCCAGCACUUUCCAGAACAACCUAAGAAUUAGAUUUCUAUUUUUUUUAUUUUCCUUAAUGUAUUUGAAGUCAUAUUUUAGAAAAUUAUAUUUAGUCUAAUCUGUCUUUUAAAUGACAGAAAACCUCCGUUUUGUAUUUACUAAGCAAAUCUUUAUAUUUAGUUGCUUCAGAUGUGAAAAAGGAUUAUUUGAGGCUAAAUAAAAACUUUUCUUGUUUUAAUCUCUGAGAAUGAAUUGGAAAAAAAUUGAAAUAUUGAGAGAGUAAGAAAAUGUAGAAAACAGUUGCAUUGAAAUUUAUUCUAAUAGUAUGUAGCAUCUUUCCAGUCUCUAAUAAGAGGAAAUAACCUAUCAGUACCUAAUGAAACACACAUCUAGGUAACUCAGCAGGACUUAAAAUUUUGUUAGAGUUAAUAUGCUUCCAUUUUUGUGUAAUUUUGAAACACAGAGAGCAAACAGUAAAAUAAAACUUACACGUUUAAUAAUGUCAGUCUUUUUUUUUUUCUUGCCACAGCAUGGAGCGGCCUGAUGUAGGAUCUCACUUCCCAGUCCAGGGAUUGAACCUAGGCCACAGCCAUGAAAGCACCAAGUCCUAACCUCUAGGCCACCAGGGAACUCCCUCUUUAAUGUGAAUCUUAAUAUGGCCAUUUAUUUUACAUAUUAAGUUUUCAUUUUUUCCACCUUCUUUGGAAAAAAUUGCUAAUCUUUUCAUUCAGGUUUAAAUUGAUGCCAGGUAAUUCCAGUAUUGAGCAUCUUAAAUCUCUUACUUGGAAUAUGGAUUGAGUUUGGCGCUAACUCAGAGGACUACAGGCAAGUAUUCAGGACAUAGCCAGAGGGAUAUUUUUAUAGUUGAACAAUUCAAUUUGUAUACUAUGUAGAUCUCUUAAGAUCACGUAUAUUUAUAUGUGAAAGUAGAUUUGAAAUUUUGGUUGUAGACUAAAUACCAUAUUUAACAGUAAAGAUUUUUUUUCUUCAAUCAUGUAUCCUUUUAAUUGUACAGAAUUAGAGGUACAUUUAGCCAUCAAGUAUCAUUAUUGAUAUGUGUCCAGGUUAGCCAUACUGGAUUAAUAAGAUUAUAUUUGAAUAAACUAUGAUCUCUCUAAGUUAAUAUAUUUAUUUGUUUAGAAGUUAAUAUUCUAAAUCAUUUUUUUUCCUUUUACAGGUGGAUAUUACUAUCCCUUAUUCAUGGAAAAAGUUUUAUUCUAAGUGUUGUGUCUCAUUGAGUAUUAGCAAAAAGGAGAAAUAUUAAUGCUUUUGAGAUAGAUUUGGCUCUAGUAAGUACUGAGAUGUAUUAUUUGCAUAUCUGGGAGAAGAAAUGAGAGACCAUCAUCAGUACAUUUCCAGCUAAAAUUCUAUAUUUUCUUGCAUCUCAUGAAGGGAUUCCUUAUAAUUUCUGUUUUAUUACUAAUAGCUUGAACCCCUUUAAUGGAGAAUUAAUUUCUCCACCAGAGUUUAAAAAUUUAUGUUCUUACCUUGUUUAUUUAUAAAAUAUAUCCCACAGAUUUCUGAUGUCUAUUUUUUAGGCUAUAUACAAGUAAGAAAUGUUGGCAAAAUAAAUAAGUUUAAACCUUUUAUAUUAAAAUUACUAUGCAGAGUGACAAGUUAGUUGCUGUUUUUUGUCUUUAUUAUACUGAAAUUAAAUUCAACAUUUGUAAUU